CUUAGGAGCAGACGAACAAUUUGCCGCCUCCUCAAAAUCAAGCAUCGAAAUUUUCCCGCCAACAUCCCAAAAUCUUAAACGACCAUCGGCAUGGAAGUCGACGGACUCCUUGGAACGAUUCGAUCCCAAAACGCAUAGGAUGGUCUCUGCAACUCCCUGUUCAAACUCUAACCCUAACCCCAAAAAUCGUAAACAUGUGCAUCACAUUGGGGGAAUUCAAGUUGAAUUUCCGUACCAACCAUACGGAUCGCAGCUGGCAUUCAUGUGCAGAGUCAUAUCGACGCUCGAUCGAGCCCAAAGAGACGGCCACUUUCACGCAUUGCUCGAGUCUCCUACAGGUACCGGGAAGUCGUUAUCGCUUCUUUGUUCUACUCUAGCUUGGCAACAGAAUUAUAAGAUAAGGAAUCAGAGUGCAAAUCUGUCUCAAUCGAAAGCCGCACCAGAGGCGAUGACAGAUCCUUUAGCUUGUGGGGGUGGGUUUAUCCCGGAAACGCAGCCUUCGAAUACUCCAGUGACGGGAAACCCAGAGCCAGGUCAAUCUCCGGCAAACAAGAACCAAAAGAAAAAAAUGGCACCUACUAUAUAUUAUGCAUCGAGGACUCAUUCACAAAUUUCGCAAGUGAUCCGUGAAUAUCGGAAAACUGCUUAUCGAGUGCCAAUGGCAGUGUUGGCUUCACGGAAACAUUACUGCACAAACCCACGUGUACGUGGGAGGGAGAACAUGGAUGAAGAAUGCAAGCUGCUUUUGAGGGAUAGGGGUGGAGGAUGCUGUGAAUUUAAAAAUGUUCAUCGAGUCAAAUAUCAUCCAUCAUUUCAGAAAGGGGGUUCUCACGAGGUCCAUGAUAUUGAAGAUCUUGUGAAAGUGGGACAAGUUGUUAGAGGCUGUUCAUAUUAUGCAGCACGCUCAAUGGCAGAUGAUGCUCAGCUUAUCCUUUGUCCAUACAACUAUGUUAUUAAUCCUGUCAUUCGGGGAGCAAUGGAUGUAGAUAUUAAAGAAGCCAUUGUGAUUUUUGAUGAAGCCCAUAAUAUAGAAGAUGUUGCUCGUGAUGCUGGGAGUUUGGAUCUCGAAGAGGAUAUUUUGCUCAAAUUACAGACAGAAUUAGAGCAACUCUGCUUAGUUGAUGCUAUUAUCUACCAACCUCUAUAUGAAAUGAUACAGGAUCUUAUAAGUUGGAUUGAACAUAGGAAAAGUACACUAGAAAAGCGUGAAUUUCAGCACUACAUCUCUUGUUGGACUGGUGAGAAGGCUCUAGUGGAGCUCCAAGAAGCUAAUAUCUCGCUGGGAUGCUUUCCAAUAUUGUUAGAGUGUGCCACUAAGGCAAUAAAAGCAGCAACAGAUACAGAGUCAGAAGCACCUCAUCUGAGUGGCAUGUCAGUUAUGACCUUGGAGGAGUUAUUUUCUUCGCUCACAUAUUUCUUCUCAAGAAAUGGAAGUCACAUACAUGAUUAUCAGCUUGUUUUACAACGAUAUGUCAAGAGAGAUGCCAAAAAUGCUUUUGGUGGCUGGACAAUUUCUUUGAGCUUGUGGUGUCUGAAUCCAGCUGUUGUGUUCAGAGACAUUGCUGAUCUUUCUUUGUCUGUCAUUUUAACAUCUGGGACCUUGUCACCAGUGAAUUCCUUCUCUUCUGAGCUUGGAGUUCAGUUUGGAACAUCUCUGGAGGCUCCACAUGUUAUUGAUGUUGAAUCACAAGUGUGGGCUGCUGUGAUUUCAGCUGGUCCAGAUAAUUACCCAUUGAAUGCAAGCUACAAAAUGGCAGAUUCUUAUGCAUUCCAGGAUGCAGUUGGAAAAUCCUUGGAGGAAAUUUUCAAGAUUGUUCCAGGUGGCUCCCUUGUAUUCUUUCCGAGUUAUAAGCUGAUGGAGAAACUGUCCUCUCGUUGGCGUGAAACCGGACAAUGGUCUCGUCUUAAUUUGAGAAAGUCUCUAUUUGUUGAGCCAAAAGGAGGAAGCCAGGAAGAAUUUGAGCAGAUUUUAAAAGAUUAUUACAAUUCAAUUUCUCGAGGCAGUAGACCUGCCGCCGGGGGGAAAAGAAGAGUUAAGAAAACAGAUAUUGAUACAGUGGAGUUGCAAGGAAAUCUCAAGGAGGGAGCUGCUUUUCUUGCAGUGUGCCGAGGAAAGGUUUCUGAGGGAAUUGACUUUGCUGAUGAUAAUGCUCGAGUUGUUAUAGUUGUUGGCAUUCCUUUUCCCAAUAUAAAUGAUAUUCAAGUUGGAUUGAAGAAAAAGUAUAACGACACAUACAAAUCAUCCAAAAACCUUCUGAGUGGUAGUGAGUGGUACUGCCACCAGGCUUUUCGAACUCUAAAUCAAGCCAUAGGACGUUGCAUACGGCAUAGAUUUGAUUAUGGAGCCAUCAUCCUAUUAGAUGAGCGAUAUCGAGAAGAAAGGAAUACAGCAUACAUUUCAAAGUGGCUAAGGAAGUCGAUUCGACAAUAUGAUCACUUCAACACAUCAUUAGGGGGAUUAGAAUCAUUUUUCAAAGAUGCGAAGGAUCGGGUUGGCAAAGCUAUUGCUGAUUCAGGGAAUUAUACAAUCAGUGAAGAAGACACCCUUUCAGUGGAUCAGAACAAAGAGUUUACAAGUAGGAAACAUGAGAAAACUAUCAAGUCUGAUCAUCCUGGACUGAAAGUUGGCAAGAAUAUGAUCCACUUGCAGAAUUUUAAGACUGUUGAGGGAGACAUUCCUUCUAUGUACCGAAGAAAAGGACUAAUCGAACAGAAAAAUCAGAAGCUGGACAAGUCUAAUUCUGUGCAGAGUAAAGUUUGUGCUGAAAAAUUUGACGGCACUGCUCCUUGGUUGAAAUCCAAAGGCUGUGCCAAGUUUCAAGGAUCCUUGCAAACAGAUCAUGACACCAAGAGCUGCAAGGAAUACAUUGACCUAGAAUGCCAUUUUCAGAAAGAUUCUAGGUGCUUGGAGCUUUUAUCUGAGACAUUCUCCCCUGAAGACCCUGAAAUAUCCAUUGUCAGGGAAACUCCUGGUAUGAAUGGUACUAAUUUCACAGCCAGUCCUUAUUCUUUUUCCAAGGAUGGGAACUCUACUUCAACCAUAAUUGAUGCCUCUGUGGAGUCUUCAGAUCAAUUCAUGCCUCACCUUGGAUCUUUACUAAAAUUGGGUGAAGAUCCUUCAAAAGCUGAGUCUUCAAUGAUAGUUACUCCAGAAAAAGGUGUCACUGCUUGUGGCCGCCUCUUGAUACCGGAAAUGGAGUCAUCUGUGAACUUGAGUGUUAAUUCGCAUGCCACAAAAAGGAGGAAAUCAGUGGGGUCAUCAUUAAUUGACCUUGUCCAGGAGGAAAGUUCUGACACUUCUAAUGCCAAAGCUUCAGGAUGCAUGAGUUUCACUAGAAGAAUUGAAUUUGGUUCCCAGACUAGCUGUCCAGGACAAGAUUCCAAGUCAAUUGUUUGUCAGUUACUUGCUGAGAAUAAGAAUGAUGCUUCUUCAUAUUCUGUUAAUGACAGGAAACUACAAAUUUCUUGUUCACUUUGCAGAAGCCCUCUUGGUCUUCCUGAAAAUAAUUUAUAUGUUAAUUGCUUGUUUGCCUCAUCGUCAAAAGCUCACUUGCUGUCUCUUCUGAAAGAUAGAUUGGAAUCUGGUGUUAGACCAACAACUAUCUCAGUUAUCAUGACUGAUAUUUCAUCAGUUCAUCAGCGACUCUGUAACAGAGCACUUGAAGGUGCUGUUGGUCAAGGUAUCUGGUGUGAACAAGAUGGGUGCGUUUUUAGUAAUAUCUUUUGUCCCUUCUGCAGCAUUCCCAACAACUGUCUUGGAGCACAGAUCAUGGCAACUGAUUCAUCCAAUGUUCAGUUACUUAACAAGGUGUUAUUUUUUCUCGAUCAUAUAGAAAUUAGAAACUCUGAUGAAAUUGAGGACAAGGAAUCAGAUAAGGCACCAAAGGAGAAGGACCUUAAAGUAAAUGCUACACCUGUGGAUAAAACUUCUACUAUAAAGGCCAUUGAUAAUUUUUCGUACUCUGCAAAGCAGAAAGAUUUGGGUGGCUGGAGGACUACAAAAUCAAAGCUAAGACUACCGAAAAGAGGAUUACGCAUUAGUGAGGAGGAGUAAUGUCCAUAGCAAGCAAAAAAAAUUUGCCAUUGUCCUUUUGUUAUGGCAGGUGAUAAGAUGUACUGCCUAUUCAAUAAACAUCACGAUUGCAAAAUUUAGCCAAGAUGUGGAUCUUGCGAGCUGUAAAUUUCAUUUGGAGAUGGAGGCAACCAUUGACCUAACUAUUUGAUCCUAAUUUUCCAACUGCAACAUGAGUUUCCUCGUGGCUGCCUGCAGCUGUGCAGCUUCCCAAAGCCUAAUUUAUGGAGUUGACCUUUGUUAAUAAAGUAUGGCAGUAAGAAACUUGAAGGAAUGGACAAAUUCCAAAUAUCAACAAAAUCAGCAAACAGAAUGGGUCAUGUUCUGCUUUGUACAGGAAACAGGCUUCUCUCUACACAAGAUGAAGCUUCUUAACUAAAUCACUGAACUGCGUAGCAAAACA